rnacentral:rRNA from 1 species
UUGACGGGGCCCGCACAAGCGGAGGAACUAUGUGGUUAAUUCGAUGAUACGCGAGGAACCUUACCUGGGCUUAAAUGUAGAGUGCAUUUUUUAGAGAUAGAAAUUCCCUUCGGGGCUUUCUGCAAGGUGCUGCAUGGUUGUCGUCAGCUCGUGCCGUGAGGUGUCGGGUUAAGUCCCAUACGAGCGCAACCCUUAUCGUUAGUUGCCAGCUGGUAAAGCAGGGGACUCUAGCGAAACUGCCACCGUAAGGUGAGAGGAAGUGGGGAUGACGUCAAAUCAGCACGGCCCUUAUGUCCAGGGCUACACACGUGUUACAAUGGCCGGCACAGAGGGCAGCUACCUGGUGACAGGACGCUAAUCUCGAAAACCGGUCUCAGUUCGGAUCGAAGUCUGCAACUCGACUUCGUGAAGCUGGAUUCGCUAGUAAUCGCGCAUCAGCCAUGGCGCGGUGAAUACGUUCCCGGGCCUU